AACAGCAUUGAAAGAAGUCUGAAACUGAUGGUUCCAGCAGAAGGAAAUGGGACAAGUUCAGCCACACAUAAAGCCUGGAGGGGGGAGAACACUGCAUUGCCAGCUCAUCUGGAUUUGGGAAACUGAAGAGCACAGAGUAACACAGUGAGGACACAGACUUGGAACAGUGGGCACUGAAGCACCUUAACCUUCAUGCGUCUUCUGCUGUUCUUACGGGAAUGUCUCGGUUGAGAAGAAAAACGUCCUUGGCGUCGUGACAAUGCAAACACGUUGGCCCCAGACCCACACUCUGAGCUGCAGUGAAAGGUCACGUCAACAUCUUGGCAGAGAACCUCUGAAUUCCAGGGCCGGGAGACCCCGAGACCCUCAAUCCAAGCCUUUUACUCCACAUGGGAAAACUGAGGCACAGGGUCCAGCGCAUCCAUCAGUGUAACGGAAAGUGGUUCAGCUGAAGGUGACGGGGAUGCCCUGCCCCCUGCUGUCUGCUGUCCCCUCCCCAACCCGACACCAAGGUCUGCGUGCACUUUGUCCCCGGCGGUGUCGCCCUCCGGACCCAGAGCUGCUAUGAUCGCCCAGUUCGG